CAGACUCCAUCUCAAACAAAACAAAACAAAACAGCCGAGCGUGAAGGCUCACGCCUGUAAUCCCAGCACUUUGGGAGGCCAAGGUGAGCGGAUCACGAGGUCAGGAGUUCGAGACCAGCCUGGCCAGCAUGGUGAAACCCUGUCUCUACUAAAAAUACAAAAAAAUUAGCCGGGCAUGGUGGUGCGCACCUGUAAUCCCAGCUACUCGGGAGGCUGAGGUAGGAGAAUUGCUUAA
rnacentral:lncRNA from 10 species